UACGUAGGGUGCGAGCGUUGUCCGGAAUUAUUGGGCGUAAAGAGCUCGUAGGCGGUGUGUCACGUCGUUCGUGAAAACCUGCAGCUUAACUGUGGGCGUGCGGUCGAUACGGGCAUCACUGGAGUUCGGCAGGGGAGACUGGAAUUCCUGGUGUAGCGGUGAAAUGCGCAGAUAUCAAGAGGAAUACCUGAGGUGAAGACGGGUUGCUAGGCCGACACUGACGCUGAAGCGCGAAAGCCAGGGGAGCAAACGGG
rnacentral:rRNA from 1 species